rfam:Danio rerio chromosome 14, GRCz11 reference primary assembly.
UGGUGCUCGCUGGGUGUAACAGCCGCUCCAUGUGGAAAAUGCAUUCAAGUGCCCGUGGAUAAGCUGUUACCUGCAGAGAGUCA